UCUGCAGAGGAGCCCCACCCCAUUUUACUGUCUGAAAACCAGGGGGGCAGUUGCCCCCCAGCCCCCCUGGUUCUUACAGCCCUGCAGUACAGUACAGUACAGCUGCUCAAGGAUCAAUGAAAGGUUGGAGAGCCAUUGAAAUUGUAAGGAUUUAAGCUCCAUGGAUGAGCAAUUCCUCGGACACUGCCGCUAGCGCUAGUAGUGGUACUGGUGCUAUAAUUAUGUGCUUCGAAGAGCAGAAGCAGAGUGGGCUGAGCUAUCUGCACAUUGAUUAUAAUUAUAUUCGACUAUAAAACAUAAUUUUGCUGUUAUAAACUUCAUCUCGAUCUAUUUGUAUAUAUGACUUCAACACGUUCAAUUUGUGUUUAUAAUUAUUAUUAGCAGCACAUAAUUGUAAUUGUUGUAUAUACAAAAAUAAACGAUACAAAAUCAUAAUUACUGUACAUGUAUACAUUUUUAAUUAUAAGCAAUACGUUGAGAAAAAUUAUUGUAAUCAUAAACAGCAGCAAUCAUUAAUCAAUAUACUAUUAUAACUUUGUGUCCAUAGCUUAGCCAUACACAACACGUUACUAGGUUACUUAUCAUUGGUCUCGUUGGUCCCAUACCGACACUGAACGUCAGCCACACCACUUGUGCCAUGUGCCUCAAACACAGUAGACUUGGUAACUUUCGGUCGGUAUGUAUUAACCUCCUCUGCUCGAUUCAACAGUAUCAUCGACUCAGUCAGCACUUCCCCAUUAUCAGCUAGAUCUCCGUACACUCCGUUGUUGCCCCUAGCAUUGGUGGCGGUACGAACCCUACCUCGUUGUUGUAUCUCUCUGUAAAGCUCUAAAUUUGAGAAAUGUUCGUACAAGAAAAGAACUGCACGAUGGGCCAGAAACUUCUCCGUGGCAUUUUUAUACCUUCUUGUUUUUCGUACACAAAAUAAGCAGAGAUAGAUGAAUAGAUAUACCAUUGGCAACCAUAUUAAAAUGACACCGAAAAUGUGGAUUUCAAUGGGGUCGGUGCUGCCAUUUUCAGAGGGAGCGGAGUAGAGAUAGAUUGAAAUGAGGGUAAUUGCUGCCAUGUUGAGGAAGAGUAGAAUAUCGAUAAAAUUGUGAAGCAUAUUUUUGUAAGGUAGCAUUAUUGCAACCACGAUAAUCAUGAAGAUAAUGAACAGCAACUGACACAGGACUUGUGUGAGUAGAUUGGAGGAGAAGGCGAAAAUCAUUAGCAUUACUAGUCGAAAGAGAAAGUACAUUCCAGCAAAAUACUGUCGAUUGGGUCGGUAACAAUCACGCAUCGCAUCUAAGAAAGAAUUUAUUUUCAGACUGGGCCACAAUUUUCUCAGUAAAACACACUUUUCCAGACCAGUGAGCCAAUUGACGAAAUCUAGACCACCUAACAGAACAAAUGGCAGCACAAUGACGAACAUGUACACAAUAAUUGCUAUUAGACCAUACGGAAGAAUAUAUUCCUGUUGCCCAAAGUAGUACUGUCCAGCGUAGUACAUCAGACGUGGAGAGGUCACGUAGGUUCCGUUUUUAUCGAAUAUUCCAACCGUUGUCAAGGUGAGAGUGGCGGCAAGGCUCAUCUUGGUGUAAGAUAGAUAGAUGAAUCCAACAAAAGCGUUAAUAAAAUUGUGAGAGACAAUUUUCUUCACUGAUUCUCCAAUUUUUUGACUGGUACUUGUUUCGCUAUUUCCUACAAGAGUGUGUAGAGCUCGAUUUCUUUCCCUUC